rnacentral:rRNA from 1 species
GUGUCAGCCGCCGCGGUAAUACGGAGGGUGCGAGCGUUAAUCGGAAUUACUGGGCGUAAAGCGUGCGUAGGCGGUUAAUUAAGUCAGAUGUGAAAGCCCCGGGCUUAACCUGGGAACGGCAUUUGAUACUGGUUAACUAGAGUUUAGUAGAGGGGAGUGGAAUUUCAGGUGUAGCGGUGAAAUGCGUAGAUAUCUGAAGGAACACCAGUGGCGAAGGCGACUCCCUGGACUAAAACUGACGCUGAGGUACGAAAGCGUGGGUAGCAAACAGGAUUAGAUACCCCUGUAGUCC